rnacentral:rRNA from 1 species
AGAGUUUGAUCAUGGCUCAGAUUGAACGCUGGCGGCAUGCCUUACACAUGCAAGUCGAACGGCAGCAUGAUCUAGCUUGCUAGAUUGAUGGCGAGUGGCGAACGGGUGAGUAAUACAUCGGAACGUGCCCUGUAGUGGGGGAUAACUAGUCGAAAGAUUAGCUAAUACCGCAUACGACCUGAGGGUGAAAGUGGGGGACCGCAAGGCCUCAUGCUAUAGGAGCGGCCGAUGUCUGAUUAGCUAGUUGGUGAGGUAAAGGCUCACCAAGGCGACGAUCAGUAGCUGGUCUGAGAGGACGAUCAGCCACACUGGGACUGAGACACGGCCCAGACUCCUACGGGAGGCAGCAGUGGGGAAUUUUGGACAAUGGGCGAAAGCCUGAUCCAGCAAUGGCCGCGUGUGUGAAGAAGGCCUUCGGGUUGUAAAGCACUUUUGUCCGGAAAGAAAUGGCUCUGGUUAAUACCUGGGGUCGAUGACGGUACCGGAAGAAUAAGGACCGGCUAACUACGUGCCAGCAGCCGCGGUAAUACGUAGGGUCCAAGCGCUAAUCGGAAUUACUGGGCGUAAAGCGUGCGCAGGCGGUUGUGCAAGACCGAUGUGAAAUCCCCGAGCUUAACUUGGGAAUUGCAUUGGUGACUGCACGGCUAGAGUGUGUCAGAGGGGGGUAGAAUUCCACGUGUAGCAGUGAAAUGCGUAGAGAUGUGGAGGAAUACCGAUGGCGAAGGCAGCCCCCUGGGAUAACACUGACGCUCAUGCACGAAAGCGUGGGGAGCAAACAGGAUUAGAUACCCUGGUAGUCCACGCCCUAAACGAUGUCAACUAGUUGUUGGGGAUUCAUUUCCUUAGUAACGUAGCUAACGCGUGAAGUUGACCGCCUGGGGAGUACGGUCGCAAGAUUAAAACUCAAAUGAAUUGACGG